UACAGAGGUCCCGAGCGUUGUUCGGAUUCAUUGGGCGUAAAGGGUGUGUAGGCGGCGCGCUAAGUCGGGUGUGAAAUUUCGGAGCUUAACUCCGAAACUGCAUUCGAUACUGGCGUGCUUGAGGACUGGAGAGGAGACUGGAAUUCAUGGUGUAGCAGUGAAAUGCGUAGAGAUCAUGAGGAAGACCAGUGGCGAAGGCGGGUCUCUGGACAGUUCCUGACACUGAGACACGAAGGCCAGGGGAGCAAACAGG
rnacentral:rRNA from 1 species